rnacentral:rRNA from 1 species
UAAUACCGGCGGCUCGAGUGGUGGCCGAUAUUAUUGAGUCUAAAGGGUCCGUAGCCGGCUUGGCAAGUCUCUUGGGAAAUCCGGCGGCUUAACCGCUGGGCGUCCGGGAGAUACUACCUUGCUUGGGACUGGGAGAGGCGUGAGGUACUCAGGGGGUAGGAGUGAAAUCCUGUAAUCCUUUGGGGACCACCGGUGGCGAAGGCGUCACGCCAGAACAGGUCCGACGGUGAGGGACGAAAGCUAGGGGCACGAACCGGAUUAGAUACCCGGGUAGUCCCAGCCGUAAACGAUGCUCGCUAGGUGUCAGGCAUGGCGCGACCGUGUCUGGUGCCGCAGGGAAGCCGUGAAGCGAGCCACCUGGGAAGUACGGCCGCAAGGCUGAAACUUAAAUGAAUUGACGG